AUCGCUUCUCGGCCUUUUGGCUAAGAUCAAGUGUAUAAAUAUGGUCUGUUUAAGGACUACUUUUCAUUUUCGUAAUGAUGUUAUUUAAAGUUCCAAAUUUUGAUAGAAUCUCAU
ensembl:snRNA U2 U2 spliceosomal RNA